rnacentral:rRNA from 1 species
AUUGAACGCUGGCGGCAUGCCUAACACAUGCAAGUCGAACGGCAGCACAGUGUGUAGCAAUACACAUGGGUGGCGAGUGGCGGACGGGUGAGUAAUGCGUAGGAAUCUGCCCUUAAGUGGGGGAUAGCCCGGAGAAAUCCGGAUUAAUACCGCAUGUGCUCUACGGAGCAAAGCGGGCCUCUGUUUCAAGCUCGCGCUUGAGGAUGAGCCUACGUCGGAUUAGCUAGUUGGUGGGGUAAAGGCCUACCAAGGCGACGAUCCGUAGCUGGUCUGAGAGGAUGACCAGCCACACUGGGACUGAGACGCGGCCCAGACUCCUACGGGAGGCAGCAGUGGGGAAUAUUGGACAAUGGGCGAAAGCCUGAUCCAGCAAUGCCGCGUGUGUGAAGAAGGCCUGCGGGUUGUAAAGCACUUUUGUCGGGAAAGAAAAUCACAGGGUUAAUACCCCUGUGCCUUGACGGUACCCGAAGAAUAAGCACCGGCUAACUCCGUGCCAGCCGCCGCAGUAA